ensembl:lncRNA
UGACCUGUAAGAUUAGCAUGAUUUUACCUGUGCUUUACUUCUGUUCUUCUCUACUUUUGUCGUUAGUAGGUGUCCAAAAAAUGUCUUUUUGUGCUGCUUAAUUUUUGGAUUCUGGAUGCAAUUCAGUGCAUGUAAAGAAACUACUUGCUUGUCAGUAUUUUAAUUCUGUAGUACAUUUGUGUGAAUAUCAACCAGCACUUACAGUAGGAGAAUGAAAAGAAAAACUGAGAAAGCCUCUCUUUCAAAGGAUGGGAUAAUCCACUUUUUGAGGGAGAAAGUGACAGUUUGGAGUGGGAUUUGAAAAGUGUAAAUGGUGGAAAAAUUUGAGCUGUUGAAGUCCCACAUAUAACCAGAUUUGAUAAAGUUUCACAUGUGGAUUAGCUUCGUGUGUGUAGAAGGUGCUUUUAUAGCAGGUCCUUAAAUACUCCUUUUGAAAUUCCUUUUUUAAAAAAUCAUACCAUUACUUCUUUGGAUAUGAAUGUCCCAAGUGGUAUCUCAUACUGUAGUAUGAGGAAGAAUGGAUGUUAAUGUAUUGUUUUGAAUUUUGGUCUUCUCUUGUCCUGGAUCAUAUCCAGUCACCACUAUGCAACAAAUGAUGUGCACUGGGCAAGGAUAUGAUGGGUUAUUCAAACUGUAUCUUGCUUGUUUUUUCUUUUGCAGUACUCCAAGUGGUCUAAACAGGAAUGUCUUGUAAACCUCAAGACUCCCUAUUGAUUAUUCCCUUACAUAUUUAUUUACAAUUUAUCAGGGUAAUUGGUGGUGCCUUAUGAAAAGCAUAACUUGAUUUCUUGAUCUUUGAGCAUGUUUUGUGUUUCUUCUGUUUUCUGAAAGAAUAUUAGAUAUGGUUGAUUGCAUUACAUCUAAAAGAUUUAAAAAUUAUGUGUAUGCUCAGGUUCCCCACACCCACACCCACCCCUACCCCCUGUCAUUUACAUUGGUGGCAACUUUAAAUGGUAACUAAGUAAAAGUACAUUUUGGUAAGGAGUAUUGAUAAUCCUGAGGAAAACUAGUGAGUACAUGGGAGCCACCUUUAACCUGUGCCAAAGCAGUUUCUAAUUUCAUUUGCUCUCUAACUGCAAAAUAAAGAACUGAGCUGAAAUAAUUUGAUCAGUGGUGUGAUUAGCCUAUUAUCAUUGCUGAGAAUAGUGUUUUUGGAGUGUGAAGUGAUUCCUGAAGAUUUCACCUGCCUUCUGUUUCCAGCAAGAAUCCAGUGAUGACCAACACAUUUCCUCACCUUUGGUUCUUGAGAAGUUUAUCCCUUUGCAACAAACCAUUAAUAGGGAAGACAAGGAAAUGCUUUCCUUUUCUCUUUGGCUUCUUAACCAAUUCAGACCCCAAGUUACUUCAGAGAAGCAAAUGGCACCUUUUCCCCAUUGCCAAGGAUCCUAGCUUAUGCAGAUAUGAAGGACAGAUCAUUUCUGAAAAUGUUAAGACUCUGCUUGCUGUGAACUUGGCCUCAAAACAGUUUCAUGAAAUGUGUAACUCUCUAUGUGUAUGUUAGGAGGAGGGUUGGUGGAAAGAGCAGGGGCGGGGAGGGAAAUCUGAUUACCUCCUGGGAAAUAAUUUUCUUGCCAACAAAAAGAUACACUUGAAGUUUCUUAAGGUGGCAAAUCCAUUAAAAAAAAAAUUGUGUUGGACUCUCCCAGUUUAGAUCAAGUAUUUCUUGGGGGUCUUGACAUUGUGGUUGAUACCAGUAAAUGAAAGAUCCAGAACAUUUUCAUUUAAAGCUCAACCAUUAAUUGGAACAUGGUGAAACAUUUUACACAUUAUAAAAGUAGGGAACAGUACAAAAGAAUGCAAUCAAAUACUAUAUUAUGUAAAUAAACUAGAGUGAUUUUGGAAUUUCACUCUUCACUCCUUCUCACUUGUUUGUUCUUUGAAGUGUAUUUCUACCUUGGUAGGAAGAAAGACUUGAUUUAAUCUUUCCUUAAAGAUCCAUGAAAUUUCUUUAUUAGGCAGAACUUCUCCCUAGCCUUAUCUCUGGAGCUAGGUUGUGUAUCUUGUCCGUGGGGGGAAGAAGGCACCACCAGAAGCAGCUUUAGAAAUGGCUUGGUGGUCCCACCUUGUGUUAAGGAGCCUUUUUGAAGGUGUCAGGGACAUAGGAUGAAAUCAGAAUUUUCUUUAGUUUCAAAAAAGGUUUUCAGAAGCCCAGAUGAGAACCUUAGAAUUACAGAAUGUAAAGAACACUGGAUUUGGGAAUAAAAUAAUCUGGGUUUUAGCUCUAUGUUUGGCCCCUUAUGUGAGUUGCUUAUCUAUUGUGGCCCUUGGUUUCCUACCAUAUGCAAGUUAGUCACAAAGAAACAAGUUAUAGCCCCUCCCCUUGACAGGGUAAGACGUAGAUGAUUUCUAAGGAUGUUUCUUCCUAAAAAGGUUAUAGAAUUUAAAGAUGACAACAGAGGCUGUAUAGUCCAAAUCCCCAUUUAAUGAGAGAAAAAUUGAUUGGGCACUCCUGAGGACAGAACAUACAGUGUCUGUCCUAUCUUGGAAAAAUCUAAGUAUUGGUCACUAACAUGUAUCGGAGCUUGCCUAUAGUCUUCCCUCUGCUGGGGUCUGAAUUUUGCGGCAUUUUUGAGCACUUUCCCUUUUGCCGUGGGACUAGCAUAUCUGCAUCUCUCUAUUCCAUUCAGUGCUGAACUCCUGGGAGGUAAGGCGAGAGUGUUAGACACAUUUUGACAAACCUAGCCUAACCGUUCCGUCAUCUGUGGGCCCCUUCCCUCUGCAAAUUGUGCUGCUCUGUUGAGACCAGCAGCUUUAGUCUUUCUGACCUAGCCCUGCCAUCUCUAACUGGGGCUAAACUUCACUGAGACACAAAACAGCGUAUCAUUCGUGUUCUCUUUCGUACCUUGAGUAACAAUUCAAACUCAUGUCACCUUGGUCACUUCCCAGGACUUGUUUUGUCAUAGAAGCAUCUCGUUCCAGAGUUCAGUUGAAACACUGAGAGACUGGUUUGAUUCCCUUUGCUUCUCAUCCGGAUAAUGCAUUGCUGCCAUCUGAAAUAAGCCCAUCCAGUCAUCAGGCCUCAAAUUGCUACCUGUUUUCCUCAAUUCGUUUUACCGUUGCUGCCGUCCUUGCCAGUUCUUUGCAUUAUAGAGAUUUUCAUUCCCUAUUCCUUUGUAAAUAUGCUUUUCUGCUUUUUCAUUAACUGGAAACGGACUCUCCCUCAGCCGUACUUGCCUUAGGACUCUUUCAAGUGGAGAGUGUUCGUCUUCUCACUUUUCUGCCGGUGAAUGGAUGGACUACAGGGUCUGCUGCCCCUGUGUUCUUGAUUCCACUGCUACACCGUUGUUCUUCUGUCCCGAGGCUUCUGCUGUUCAGCUGCACCGUCUGUCCUCCUCACCGCCAUCUCUGGUCACUCCCCUUCAUUUAUGGAAGGGACUUUGAUGAUUGAUGGGCAUCUCUUUCCCCAGUGCUGCCAUCAUUCUGGGCAGUUUCAUUAGUCAUGGAUGACCUUAAUUUCUGGACCUCCAUCUCCACUAGUCAUUUUCACUCCAUUUAGCAAACCAGUUUUAAGUCAACACUUUGGACUCAUCAGAAAUUUAUUUUCUGAAAUGUAGAAUCGAUAAUUCUAUGAUUUUAGUGUCCUUUAAUUUCUUCCUCUCAGUAUACAGUAUACUUAUUCUUUGACCUCAAGAAGCCUCCAGUUCCUUAACCAACCUUCCCCACCCCCCCCACCCCCGUUUGUCAGUUUACUCUGGCUUUACCGCUUCCCCGUUUAGCAUCGACUGUGGCCUGUCGCUCUGGCUCUGCAGAAACUUAUCGCUGGAUCAGUUUGGCUGUCUUGACUUCUUUGCUUUCAUGGGCUGCUGCGUACUACUGAGUAUGUACCAGUGGUUGGUGGCACCACAGAUUCUGACUUCUUUGCUUUCAUGGGCGGCUGCGUACUACUGAGUGUGUACCAGUGGUUGGUGGCACCACAGAUGGACUCGAGUAGGCAGGUGCUUGAAGCAGUUCAGCAGCCCUGGCCGUCCAGCAACCUCUUCCAUUCUUAAAGACUAUUUCAGAUUUUCACCUCUUGUCAAAUAGCCUGUCACCUCUGCUGCCUCUGCAGAGGCCUACCCUCCUAAUGGGUAAAUUGAAGCUAACAGGAGAGCUGCUAAGCUUCUUCCUCAGUUAUCUAUAUCAUCAUCCUCAUCUGUCCCAGAGGAGGGGUCUGUCCUGUGGUCAACACUAUGAAAGUAUAGGUGAAUGAGCUAAUCAGUGAAUCCUAUCCCAUUGUAACUCCUUAGAGACCUUGUUCUGUCAGUCAGCCCUUUAUCUUCCGCAUCUUUCAUUUAGCAUAUAAUUUCAAGCUCUGUAUUGAACAGGAGAGCUCAACUCCUAUAUGUUUUCCCUUGAACCUGUCUCUUUUCCUGUUCUCUUCUUCUUAUUGAAAUGCUACCUCUUCAGAGGCCCCCAUGUUUUCUCUUGCAAUGGCCUGUUCUAUUCCAUUAGGGGACUUUGCCAUAUAUGGCAUAUUUGUGUAAAAGUUCCAUGAGAGCCUAGGUUUUGUUUCCUUUCUCUCUCCAUAUGCAGCAACUAGAACAAUACUAUGCAUAAACAUUCAACAGAUAACUUGAAGGAAUGCUGUUUCAUGCCUUCGUUCCUUCCUAUACAUUAUUGCUCCCCUGUUGUUCUCUGUUUGGACUGCCAUAACCUCAUCUGCCUUUUCUCCUUACUACUUUCUCAUUCUUCAAAAUUCAGCUCAUCCCCAAAUUCCUCUGAGAAGUUCUUCAGGUUACUCCUCUCCAUCUAAUCUGAGUUAGAUGUCCUUUCUUGGAGCUCUAAUAGCGUUUAGACUAGACACCGGUCCUCAGAGUGAGGCUUCUGCAUGGACAGCAUCACCGUCAUCUGGGAAUUCAUUAGAAAUGCAAACUAUGAGGCCCUACCCUAGACUUUCUAAAUCAGAAACUCUGGGAAUGGGGCCAGCAACCUGCGUUUUAACAAGCCCUGAAGGUGACUGUGAUGCAUGCAAAGUUUGAGGACCACUAGAACAUAGUCCCUGUAGAAUAUAUCUCCAGGAUCUGACACAACACACAGAACAGGAUUAUUGUGAAGAUCUUCCUUAUAAAGACCUGAAGUCUAUCUUCCUGUAGCCUCAUC